CGUGCCUAAUACAUGCAAGUCGAACGGUCUUUCUAUGGAAGCUUGCUUCCACUGAGAAGAUAGUGGCGAACGGGUGAGUAACACAUGGGUAACCUGCCAUAAGAGGGGGGAUAACAUCCGGAAACGGGUGCUAAUACCGCAUAGUUUUCUUGAUCGCAUGAUUGAGAAAGGAAAGACGGCCUUUGUGCUGUCGCUUAUGGAUGGACCCGCGGCGUAUUAGUUAGUUGGUGAGGUAACGGCUCACCAAGACGAUGAUACGUAGCCGACCUGAGAGGGUGAUCGGCCACAUUGGGACUGAGACACGGCCCAAACUCCUACGGGAGGCAGCAGUAGGGAAUCUUCCGCAAUGGACGAAAGUCUGACGGAGCAACGCCGCGUGAGUGAAGAAAGGUUUUCGGAUCGUAAAACUCUGUUGUCAGAGAAGAACAAGUUGGAGAGUAACUGCUCCAGCCUUGACGGUAUCUGACCAGAAAGCCACGGCUAACUACGUGCCAGCCGCCGC
rnacentral:rRNA from 1 species